CAGUAGCCGCGGUAAUACGGAGGGGGCUAGCGUUGUUCGGAAUUACUGGGCGUAAAGCGCACGUAGGCGGCUUGGUAAGUUAGAGGUGAAAGCCUGGAGCUCAACUCCAGAAUUGCCUUUAAGACUGCCGAGCUAGCAGGUGAGAGAGGUAAGUGGAAUUCCGAGUGUAGAGGUGAAAUUCGUAGAUAUUCGGAAGAACACCAGUGGCGAAGGCGGCUUACUGGCUCAUACUGGACGCUGAGGUGCGAAAGCGUGGGGAGCAAACAGGAUUAGAUACCCCAGUAGUCCCUGUCUCUUAUAA
rnacentral:rRNA from 1 species